GGCUUCAUAGCUCAGUGGUAGAGCAACCGGCUGUUAACCGGUUGGUCGUAGGUUCAAUCCUGCUGAAGCCG